ensembl:lncRNA novel transcript
CUUCUCUGGAAAGCCUUUUUAAAGUCAUGGACACUUGUGAUUCUCAAACUUUGCUGCAUGUUAGAAUCAUCUGGGGGAAUUUUAGAAAAUCCUGAUGUUCAGGUCACAUCCCAGAAUAACCACGCCAGUUUCUGUCCGUGCGAUUCUAACGAGCAGCUACGUUUGAAAACCAAUGGCCAAGAUCAGUGCUUCUUAAGCUUUAAGUUGCAAAUGAACUCUCUGAGUGAAGAUGUUGUUAAAACGAAGAUUCUGAUUCAGUAAGUACGAGGUGAGAUCUGAUAUUCUGCAUUUCUUGUUUGCUCCCAGGUGACAAUGAUACCACUGAUACACAGACCACACUUUGAGAAGCAAGGUUCUAUAGCAAUGGUUCUCAAUUCUUAUUGCGCAUCAGAAUCACCCAGAAGGCUUGCUGAAACACACACUCCUGGGCCCCGUCCUUGGAGAUUCGGCUUCAGUAGGUCUGGGUGGAGGGCCUGAGAAUUUGCAUUUCUAAUAAUUUCCCUGGAUGACUGAUCCAGGAACCAAAGUUUGAGAACCACUGGCCUAGACUGCUUUGCUCAUGCCCCUCCCAGGUCUUCCAGAGUGCCUAAGCUGACUUCGUCGCAGCAGUCUUUUAUUCAAUCAGCUGGUGUUUACUCGGACACUUCCCAUGCUGCAGGGGUUGUACCGGGCACAUAGGAGGCAGUGCCUUGUAGCUGUUGUCAGCAAGAACUUUAAAUGUGGAAGAUGCGUUGUAAAUUCCAGCCUAAGCUUUUUAGCUUCCUAACUAGGACAGAUUGUUUUAUCUAUACAAUCUGUCAUAGAAGCUAUUAUAUGUUGGAAACUCUGGAAGAUCUAUAAUUACCCUUAACACUCAGCUCUACUUUGUAAGUUACAUUUAUUUAUUCUUAGUUUCUAAAUAGGAUUACCAUGGCCAGUGCCUUUCUAACAAUUUUAGAGUCAUUUUAUUUGUGAGAUUAAUGAUUUGAAACUUCGAUUUUGUCAGAGAUCUCUAGACUGACCUCUAGAGAUAGGCGUGUUAAGAAUUAACAGCCUUUAAAUUCUGGGAUACAUGUGCAGAAUAUGCAGGUUUGUUACAUAGGUAUACAUGUGCCAUGUUGGUGUGCUGCACCUAUCAACCCAUCAUCUACAUUAGGUAUUUCUCCUAAUGCUAUCCCUCCCCUAGCCCCCCACCCCCCAACAGGCCCCAAUGUGUGAUGUUCCCCUGCCUGUGUCCAUGCGUUCUCAUUGUUCAACUCCCACUUAUGAGUGAGAACAUGCAGUGUUUGGUUUUCUGCUCCUGUGUUAGUUUGCUGAGAAUGAUGGUUUCAGGCUUCAUCCAUGACCCUGCAAAGGUCAUGAACUCAUCCUUCUUUAUGGCUGCAUAGGAUUCCAUGGUGUAUAUGUGCCACAUUUUCUUUAUCCAGUCUAUCAUUGAUGGGCAUUUGGGUUGGUUCCAAGUCUUUGCUAUUGUGAACAGUGCUGUAAUAAACAUUCAUGUGCAUGCGUCUUUAUAGUAGAAUGAUUUAUAAUCCUUUGGGUAUACCCAGUAAUGGGAUUGCUGUGUCAAAUUGUAUUUCUGGUUCUAGAUCCUUGAGGAAUUGCCACACUGUCUUCCACAAUGGUUGAACUAAUUUACACUCCCACUAACAGUGUAAAAGCGUUCAGUGUUUCUUUAACAGUAAAGACAUUUUCAUUAUCAAAUAAUGAUGUUCAUGUUUUUCUAGAAAAACUAUCAUUACUCCAUUUGUUUAAACUUUGAUCUUGAAU